rnacentral:rRNA from 1 species
AUUGAACGCUGGCGGCAUGCCUUACACAUGCAAGUCGAACGGCAGCACGGGGGCAACCCUGGUGGCGAGUGGCGAACGGGUGAGUAAUAUAUCGGAACGUACCCUGGAGUGGGGGAUAACGUAGCGAAAGUUACGCUAAUACCGCAUACGAUCUAAGGAUGAAAGUGGGGGAUCGCAAGACCUCAUGCUCCUGGAGCGGCCGAUAUCUGAUUAGCUAGUUGGUGGGGUAAAGGCCUACCAAGGCAUCGAUCAGUAGCUGGUCUGAGAGGACGACCAGCCACACUGGGACUGAGACACGGCCCAGACUCCUACGGGAGGCAGCAGUGGGGAAUUUUGGACAAUGGGGGCAACCCUGAUCCAGCAAUGCCGCGUGAGUGAAGAAGGCCUUCGGGUUGUAAAACGUCUUUCACCUGUGACGAUGAUGACGGUAGC